UCCCCCCUUAUGGUAGGUGAGGGGGACAGCAAAGUGAGUGCGGGAGUCCUCUCUAUUGGGCACAAGUCACUGUGAUGCCUUUUGUGAGUUGAGCUGUGGCUGCGAGGAAGAGAAGCCCACAGUGCCGCCAGAUAGGGGCCUCGGGGACCUGAUGGCCCAUCAUGAGCAGGGAGAGGAGCCUGGAGCCCGGCAGGCUGAGAGAGCAACUGUGUGCAUCCGGGGAGUGAUAAGACAGGACGGAGAAACCCAGGAAGCUUAAGGAGCCACUUUCUGAGGACAGUAGCCCCAGGACUCCCAUCUCAGCCAUGGUUGCAGGUGGAGCGUGCUAGGGAGGAGGCAGAAUGCAAUAGCCCCGCUUCCUGAGACCAUGGUGGUUUGAUCAGGUGCCACAGUGUCAGGCAAGGCAGCGGGCCAGGUUAGGGAGAGCUGGAGCACCUCGGUGGCUUGGCGGGACUGCACUCAGAGAGGGUGACUGAGACAAGCUGACCAGCCUUUCCGCUGCAUAGACGAAGGAUACAUGCUAGGUGAACACAGCACAGGCCCUAUGAGCUCCAGAGCUGUGUGGGGGAAUGGGGAGAGACACUUCUGGGUUUCUGUGAAGCCCGUGGAGCAGACACUUCUGGACACCUGCCCAGCAUGGCUUGAUUCCCUUCCUCCUUGCUGAUUUAGUUGAGGUUUCUGCUCCCUGCCUAAAGGUCUAAAAGGCAGAUGCUUCAGGAAGGCUGACUUCUGGUAGUAGGCCCCAUUGGUCUAAACCCAUCAAAGUGCUCCCAUACUGCUGGCCAGGGAUUGGGUUAAGUCGAGGCAUGUGGUACAAUUCUGGCCAACAAGAUAGAUGGGAGGGGAAGUCCUCUAAAUUAAGGUUGUGAAUGUUCAGAAAAAGCUUUCUUCACUCUCCAAGAGACUCAAAGGUGAAAGAGCUUUCUUUCCUGAAUCUUGGCAAUGGUGUGCCUUGGAUGCAACAUCUAGAACUUUGGCAGCCAUCUUGUGACUGAGAGCAGUGAGCCUACAAGAAUGGACUGAUGGGUGGAUUCAGUUGGUAUAGCAUGCAACUCUUGAUCUCAGGGUCUUGAGUUCGAGCCCCACGUUGGGUGUAGAGCUCACUUCAAACAAACAAACAAACAAAUAAACAGACUGAUAGGAAGAACCAAGGUCCUCCAUAACAUCACUGAGUCACCAAACCAACCCAGCGUGGUUGGGGCCACUGGCCUUUGGACUUCCCCUUGUCUGUAAGCCAGGAGGGGCUCCCCCAGCAGCCACAGGUCCACGCAGUGCCUCUUGGGUCUCCCCAGGUGCCUGGGAAGGGGCUGGGGACUAGCGAGAGUGCCAGCACCCUGACACCUUUUCUGGUCCCUGCAGACUUCCAGUUUUUAUAGGGCGAGUCUGAGCUGGAGGCUCAAGGCAGAGAAGCUGACAACAUGGAGCAUUCUGGAUGUGCCUCUGGAGAAGGCCGUUUUGCCGCCACCACCCCAGUGCUGCCAUGGAGACAGGCAGCCGUGGGCCCGGGCCUGAGGGAGGCUCAAUCGCAUGCAGAUCUGAGAGGCAGGUGAGCCUGAAGCCUUCGCCAUCCUGGCCUCUCUGCCUCCCCUCAAAGCCACAGACACUCACCUUCCUUUGCUCUAUUUCGGCCUCAGCCCCUCCUGUUCUCAGCUCACUACCUCAGCUCAUUACCUAAGGACAUUUUCCCCAGCAGGGUGCUCAGGUGAGCUUUUCCAGCUGCCGGCAGUUGGGUGCUGACCCCUCGGGGUUACGAGGCCCUCCAGGUUUGGGGAAACAACGUGUGUGCUGAGCUGACUACAGAGCGUCUGGGAUGCCAUGACUGUCCUCUUCCACAUGUCUUGUUCUGGCCCAUGUUUCAGAUUUAUGGAAAGGACUGGAGUCCUGGCCCGCUCCUGAGUAAGGCAUUGUGGGCCUGGGUGUGGAAUGAGAGUUUUUAAUGCCGUCCUGUUGAUGUGGAAGAUUAGGACUCCUGUCCAGUGGGUCAUGGCUCCCAACCUUGGCUGAAUGUUAGGAUCUUCUGGGAAUCUGCAAAACACGGAAGCCAGACUCCCUCCCAUAGAUAUUCUGAGGAACUGGCCUGGAGUGCCAGCUGGAUGAGAGCGCCCCACGUGGUGCCAAUGUGCAGACAAGGAUGCCAAGAUGACUCAAUUGAGAAAGAACUCUCUUCAACAAGUCGUGCUGGGAAAACUGGACAUCUGCAUGCAGAUGAGAAGUCAUACCUUCAUCUCACUCAAAAAUUAACUCAAACAGGAUCAAAGAGCAAGCCAUUUUCACAAAAGGGCUUGCAAAUGUACAAGCUCCUCCCUGAGGCCUCCUUCUGCAUGGCACAGACCUUUCAUCACCAACCCAACUUGUAAUCUUGGGUAAAAGAAGGUUCUCCACUCAUCUUCACAGAGGAAAAAAAAAAAAAAGGCAAAGCAAAACAAAACAGCCACAUCAUGAAGUCAUUCCAUGUAAUGAGGCUUGCUCUGUGGAGCUGUCAUUACUCUGGGCUGCAGGAGGGUCUGGACUGCCCACUGGCCUCCCACCUCGCCCUGGCCAGUCAGGGCUGGAGUCAGCAGCCGGACAGCCCAGAAGGCCACCCUGGAGCCUUAGAGGAGAGGCUGUUUUUUGGGCCUCACUUAGAAAUUCCUGGCUGGUCAGUGGCAGCCAAAGAUGGGAGAACAAUCCUAUCAGGCCUGCCACCUCACCUUGGUACAUUCUGAACUCAGGCUUUUGCUCAAAUCACUCUUACCCCUACCAUCUCCCGGGACUCCCUGACCAGUGCUCUUGACUCACAGAACCUUGCUCAUCUUUGAGAGCCAGUGUAAGUUCUGCUUCCCAGGACCAGGGAGCCUCCGCAUCCCACAACUAUUCAUUCGACAACAGUUUAUCCAGCCCCUUCCCAGGGCCUGGCUAAAGACGGGCAAGCCUGGAAGCCUGCCCUUGCCCGCACUGAAGAAGGGAGAUACGGAAGCAGUGCUGGGAUGGCGUGCUGAGCGCCCAGAGCUACUCCCACUGAUCUUCACGGUGCCCGAGGCGCUCCCCACUCCCUCAGUCAGCCAGUUGGCCUCUUCUUUUCUCUCUCAGGGUAGACCGGUGGUCU